AUGCGAUACUCUACUGGAUUAUCUUAAGGAUGUUUGUAUAUUGGGCUCCAAAUUUGAUCUUAUCAAAUCCGGUUCAGAUUCAGUUAUUGGUGUCGGUUCUUCUACCUGUCGAACUUCAUCAAGCUCGACUUUAGAGAGACUUAUUGUUUCACUAAGAAAUACUUUGUCCAAAAAGUGUGCCUUAUUACUGACAAAUAUCUUUUGUUCAAUAGGGAGG
rnacentral:lncRNA from 1 species